GAUAAUAAUUUAAAGUCUGACCUGCCCACUGAUAAUAAUUAAAGGGCCGCAGUAUUUUGACUGUGCAAAGGUAGCAUAAUCAUUAGUCUUUUAAUUGAGGACUGGUAUGAAUGGUUUAACGAAAUAUUAACUGUCUCAUAAUAAUAAUAUAGAAUUUAACUUUUAAGUCAAAAGGCUUAAAUGUAAUUAGAGGACGAGAAGACCCUAUAGAGCUUGAUAUUUAUAUUUUUAAAUUUUAUUUAGAUGUUUAUAAUUUUUAAAUUUAAGAAUAUUUUAUUGGGGUGAUAAGAAGAUAUAAAUAACUCUUUAGUUAUAUAAACAUUAAUUUAUGAAUAAUUGAUCCAUUAAUAAUGAUUAUAAGAUUAAGUUACCUUAGGGAUAACAGCGUAAUAUUUUUUAAGAGUUCUUAUCAACAAAAAAGAUUGCGACCUCGAUGUUGGAUUAAGGUAAUAAUUGGGUGUAGAAGUUCAAAUUUUAGGUCUGUUCGACCUUUAAAUCCUUACAUGAUCUGAGUU
rnacentral:rRNA from 1 species